rnacentral:rRNA from 1 species
AUUGAACGCUGGCGGCAUGCUUUACACAUGCAAGUCGAACGGCAGCGCGGGCUUCGGCCUGGCGGCGAGUGGCGAACGGGUGAGUAAUGCAUCGGAACGUGCCCAGUAGUGGGGGAUAGCCCGGCGAAAGCCGGAUUAAUACCGCAUACGACCUGAGGGUGAAAGCGGGGGACCGAAAGGCCUCGCGCUAUUGGAGCGGCCGAUGUCGGAUUAGCUAGUUGGUGGGGUAAAGGCUUACCAAGGCGACGAUCCGUAGCUGGUCUGAGAGGACGACCAGCCACACGGGGACUGAGACGCGGCCCAGACCCCUACGGGAGGCAGGAGGGGGGAAUUUGGGACAAGGGGGGCAACCCUGAUCCAGCCAGGCCGGGGGGGGGAAGAAGGCCUUGGGGUUGUAAACCGUUUUUGUUGGGGAAAAAAUCCUCUGGGCUAAUACCCCGGGGGGAUGGCGGUACCGGAAGAAUAAGCCCCGGCUAACUACGG